GCUCCCGUGGCGGAAUUGGCAUACGCGUGGCGUUUAGGGCGCCAUGUCCUUACGGACAUAGAGGUUCAAAUCCUCUCGGGAGCA
rnacentral:tRNA from 1 species